CGAUUACGGGAGGCAGCAGUCGGGAAUAUUGCACAAUGGAGGAAACUCUGAUGCAGUGACACCGCGUAUAGGAAGAAGGUCUUAGGAUUGUAAGCUAUUGUCGUGUGAGAAGAAAAUGACUAUCACAGGAGGAAGCCCUGGCUAAAUAUGUGCCAGCAGCCGCGGUAAUAUCG
rnacentral:rRNA from 1 species